rnacentral:rRNA from 1 species
AUGCAUUGGUUCGCAUGGUGGAAGAUGUGUGUAUCAAAGAAGAAAUGAGGUAUGGGCUUCAGGGAUAUUCAUUGUUUCAAUCUUGGACUCAUAGCAAAACAAGGCUGGCUUCUUAUUGAUAAUCCAAAUUCAUUAGGUGCAACUAUCCUAAAAGUGAGGUACUUCCAAGAAGGACAUCUCUUAAGUGCUACUUUGAAAUAAAAAUCAUAAUAUACUGCGUAGAGUAUCAUGGCUGGUGUGGACGCUUUGAGACGUGGGUAUAUAUGGAAAAUUGGAGAUGGAGAAAAGGAGAAUAUAAUGGGGAACUCGUGGAUCCCUCAGCCACCAACCAAAGAAGUGUUGACCAACCAAGGUAAUAAUUUCAUAUCCCGAAUCUGUGAUCUCAUCGAUCCGGUGGCGGUGAUUGGGACACGCAAUUGA